GGUCGUAAAGCUCUGUUAUAUGGGACGAAGGGAUACGGUGCCAAUACCACCGUAUCGUGACGGUACUGUAAGAGAAAGCCAGGGCGAAUUACUUGCCGGCAGCCGCGGUAAUAAGUAGGUGGCUAGCGUUGUCUGGAAUUAUUGGGGGUAAAGGGGGUGCGGGCGGCCGGGCAGGUCGGUCUUAAAAAUGCGGGGCUUAACCCCCUGAUGGGAUGGAAACGGUCUGGCUAGAGUGUGGGAGAGGAAAGCGGAAUUCCUAGUGUAGCGGUGAAAUGAGUAGAUAUUAGGAGGAACACCAGUGGCGAAAGCGGCCUUCUGGACGACAACUGACGGUGAGGCGCGAAAGCCAGGGGAGC
rnacentral:rRNA from 1 species